GGGUUGUGAGGUUAAGCGACUAAGCGUACACGGUGGAUGCCCUGGCAGUCAGAGGCGAUGAAGGACGUGCUAAUCUGCGAUAAGCGUCGGUAAGGUGAUAUGAACCGUUAUAACCGGCGAUUUCCGAAUGGGGAAACCCAGUGUGAUUCGUCACACUAUCAUUAACUGAAUCCAUAGGUUAAUGAGGCGAACCGGGGGAACUGAAACAUCUAAGUACCCCGAGGAAAAGAAAUCAACCGAGAUUCCCCCAGUAGCGGCGAGCGAACGGGGAGCAGCCCAGAGCCUGAAUCAGUGUGUGUGUUAGUGGAAGCGUCUGGAAAGGCGCGCGAUACAGGGUGACAGCCCCGUACACAAAAAUGCACAUGCUGUGAGCUCGAUGAGUAGGGCGGGACACGUGGUAUCCUGUCUGAAUAUGGGGGGACCAUCCUCCAAGGCUAAAUACUCCUGACUGACCGAUAGUGAACCAGUACCGUGAGGGAAAGGCGAAAAGAACCCCGGCGAGGGGAGUGAAAAAGAACCUGAAACCGUGUACGUACAAGCAGUGGGAGCCUCUUUAUGGGGUGACUGCGUACCUUUUGUAUAAUGGGUCAGCGACUUAUAUUCUGUAGCAAGGUUAACCGAAUAGGGGAGCCGAAGGGAAACCGAGUCUUAACUGGGCGUUAAGUUGCAGGGUAUAGACCCGAAACCCGGUGAUCUAGCCAUGGGCAGGUUGAAGGUUGGGUAACACUAACUGGAGGACCGAACCGACUAAUGUUGAAAAAUUAGCGGAUGACUUGUGGCUGGGGGUGAAAGGCCAAUCAAACCGGGAGAUAGCUGGUUCUCCCCGAAAGCUAUUUAGGUAGCGCCUCGUGAAUUCAUCUCCGGGGGUAGAGCACUGUUUCGGCAAGGGGGUCAUCCCGACUUACCAACCCGAUGCAAACUGCGAAUACCGGAGAAUGUUAUCACGGGAGACACACGGCGGGUGCUAACGUCCGUCGUGAAGAGGGAAACAACCCAGACCGCCAGCUAAGGUCCCAAAGUCAUGGUUAAGUGGGAAACGAUGUGGGAAGGCCCAGACAGCCAGGAUGUUGGCUUAGAAGCAGCCAUCAUUUAAAGAAAGCGUAAUAGCUCACUGGUCGAGUCGGCCUGCGCGGAAGAUGUAACGGGGCUAAACCAUGCACCGAAGCUGCGGCAGCGACACUAUGUGUUGUUGGGUAGGGGAGCGUUCUGUAAGCCUGUGAAGGUGGCCUGUGAGGGUUGCUGGAGGUAUCAGAAGUGCGAAUGCUGACAUAAGUAACGAUAAAGCGGGUGAAAAGCCCGCUCGCCGGAAGACCAAGGGUUCCUGUCCAACGUUAAUCGGGGCAGGGUGAGUCGACCCCUAAGGCGAGGCCGAAAGGCGUAGUCGAUGGGAAACAGGUUAAUAUUCCUGUACUUGGUGUUACUGCGAAGGGGGGACGGAGAAGGCUAUGUUGGCCGGGCGACGGUUGUCCCGGUUUAAGCGUGUAGGCUGGUUUUCCAGGCAAAUCCGGAAAACUAAGGCUGAGGCGUGAUGACGAGGCACUACGGUGCUGAAGCAACAAAUGCCCUGCUUCCAGGAAAAGCCUCUAAGCAUCAGGUAACAUCAAAUCGUACCCCAAACCGACACAGGUGGUCAGGUAGAGAAUACCAAGGCGCUUGAGAGAACUCGGGUGAAGGAACUAGGCAAAAUGGUGCCGUAACUUCGGGAGAAGGCACGCUGAUAUGUAGGUGAAGCGACUUGCUCGUGGAGCUGAAAUCAGUCGAAGAUACCAGCUGGCUGCAACUGUUUAUUAAAAACACAGCACUGUGCAAACACGAAAGUGGACGUAUACGGUGUGACGCCUGCCCGGUGCCGGAAGGUUAAUUGAUGGGGUCAGCGCAAGCGAAGCUCUUGAUCGAAGCCCCGGUAAACGGCGGCCGUAACUAUAACGGUCCUAAGGUAGCGAAAUUCCUUGUCGGGUAAGUUCCGACCUGCACGAAUGGCGUAAUGAUGGCCAGGCUGUCUCCACCCGAGACUCAGUGAAAUUGAACUCGCUGUGAAGAUGCAGUGUACCCGCGGCAAGACGGAAAGACCCCGUGAACCUUUACUAUAGCUUGACACUGAACAUUGAGCCUUGAUGUGUAGGAUAGGUGGGAGGCUUUGAAGUGUGGACGCCAGUCUGCAUGGAGCCGACCUUGAAAUACCACCCUUUAAUGUUUGAUGUUCUAACGUAGACCCCUAAUCGGGGUUGCGGACAGUGUCUGGUGGGUAGUUUGACUGGGGCGGUCUCCUCCUAAAGAGUAACGGAGGAGCACGAAGGUUGGCUAAUCCUGGUCGGACAUCAGGAGGUUAGUGCAAUGGCAUAAGCCAGCUUGACUGCGAGCGUGACGGCGCGAGCAGGUGCGAAAGCAGGUCAUAGUGAUCCGGUGGUUCUGAAUGGAAGGGCCAUCGCUCAACGGAUAAAAGGUACUCCGGGGAUAACAGGCUGAUACCGCCCAAGAGUUCAUAUCGACGGCGGUGUUUGGCACCUCGAUGUCGGCUCAUCACAUCCUGGGGCUGAAGUAGGUCCCAAGGGUAUGGCUGUUCGCCAUUUAAAGUGGUACGCGAGCUGGGUUUAGAACGUCGUGAGACAGUUCGGUCCCUAUCUGCCGUGGGCGCUGGAGAACUGAGGGGGGCUGCUCCUAGUACGAGAGGACCGGAGUGGACGCAUCACUGGUGUUCGGGUUGUCAUGCCAAUGGCACUGCCCGGUAGCUAAAUGCGGAAGAGAUAAGUGCUGAAAGCAUCUAAGCACGAAACUUGCCCCGAGAUGAGUUCUCCCUGACUCCUUGAGAGUCCUGAAGGAACGUUGAAGACGACGACGUUGAUAGGCCGGGUGUGUAAGCGCAGCGAUGCGUUGAGCUAACCGGUACUAAUGAACCGUGAGGCUUAACCUUACAACGCCGAAG
rnacentral:rRNA from 1 species